rnacentral:rRNA from 1 species
UACGAAGGGGGCUAGCGUUGCUCGGAAUCACUGGGCGUAAAGCGCACGUAGGCGGAUUGUUAAGUCAGGGGUGAAAUCCUGGAGCUCAACUCCAGAACUGCCUUUGAUACUGGCGAUCUUGAGUCCGGGAGAGGUGAGUGGAACUGCGAGUGUAGAGGUGAAAUUCGUAGAUAUUCGCAAGAACCCCAGUGGCGAAGGCGGCCCACUGGCCCGGUACUGACGCUGAGGUGCGAAAGCUAGGGGAGCAAACAGG